AACGAACGCUGGCGGCAGGCCUAACACAUGCAAGUCGAGCGAGCAUUUCGGUGCUAGCGGCGGACGGGUGAGUAACGCGUGGGAACGUGCCCUUUUCUGCGGAAUAGUCCUGGGAAACUGGGGGUAAUACCGCAUACGCCCUUUUGGGGAAAGAUUUAUCGGAGAAGGAUCGGCCCGCGUUGUAUUAGGUAGUUGGUGGGGUAAUGGCCCACCACGCCGACGAUCCAUAGCUGGGUUGAGAGGAUGAUCAGCCACACUGGGACUGAGACACGGCCCAGACUCCUACGGGAGGGAGCAGUGGGGAAUCUUAGACAAUGGGGGCAACCCUGAUCUAGCCAUGCCGCGUGAGUGAUGAAGGCCUUAGGGUUGUAAAGCUCUUUCAGCUGGGAAGAUAAUGACGGUACCAGCAGAAGAAGCCCCGGCUAACUCCGUG
rnacentral:rRNA from 1 species